rnacentral:rRNA from 1 species
UUGUGGAUAGGGUCAAAGGUAUUGACUGAGUAUGGAGGUUAUAUAGGCACCUGCUUAUGACGGAUGGAGCCAUAAAGAAGGGUAUGGAGAAACCCCUUUAUUAUACAGGUCAUGGAGAAGGCCUGUCGCCUCCUUAAGUGACAAUGUUUGCCCGUACUUCGUAGUAAGGACUACUAGCUGUUUAUAACAGUGUUAUUACCAGCCAUGUUUUCCAAUGCUGGUAAUAGGUCUGGUGAGUAGUUGAAGCUCUUAAUCCAGACUUAGAAGCUAUAACCUACUCGUAGCCUCUUGGAGAACAGGCAACAUAUAGGUGGGGCUUCUAUUGAAGGAGUGUUCAUGUUUUCAUUCACUCCUGAUCUAUCGUAAUCUUAUAGGUGCCUCACCAUCGAUUUAGAGAUUGAAGGUACCUGUUAUAGUUGAUGCGUAAAACAUCAGAUGCUUCUCCGCGGAGCAUCUCAAUCCAUCAAUGUGACUGCUUCUUUAGAAAUGUGGAGGUCAAACUUCUGCAAACUUGUAAAGUCUACACAGACAUUCCUGAGCCUAACCUUUAACAGCUCAGGUUUACUGACCUAUGCUCCAAUCUAGAAGCGUCCCUUAGAUGAUUGUGAUAGAAGGUCUAGCUUUUACAUACCUCGCUCUUGAAACAAGUGUCUUGAAUUCUCCAACUACCCUCUUUGAGAGGUGGAUCUUGGAUAAUGAAGCUCUUCUCAAUGAUCGAGGGACAAACGACCUCAUAACCCCUUUCUUAAGUCCACUAGGUAUUGCUCCGUGUAGGGAGUGUUGAGGCUUAAGACAGAGCUUAGAGGUCAACGUCUAGCCUUGUUUGAGCCAGUGUUUUCAUAGUCUUAACACGGGUAGGUCUAAAAGCACCGAGAGACCAACUCCUGAUUCAACCCAGACACAGUCGGCCAGAUCAGGAGCAUAAGUCUCUAGAAGAGCCUUAAGUGUAAGAUCUAAGGAUGAGUCUAAGAGUAUGUUUAAGUAGCCUGUCUUUAAGCGCUUGUAGGUACUACAAGCCAGAUCCUUGCAGCGACUACAUUAAAACCUCUCUCAACCCUUAACCCUUACAUUGACAGGUCUCUUAAGAAUGUUCUUUGAGCAUUCUCGGUAGUCGUCAAUGCUCCCGUUUUGACACCGAUUGGUUAAGCCUUACAUAGUGAUGACGCUGCGUUUCUUUCAGUGAAUGAUUGGUGAGACUUGAAGUGAUCGAAGCGCCUACUCACUUAUAAGACCUUAGGGCAAAGGUCUUGUACGUUAAGUCGUUUAGAGAGAGAGCUAAUGUCUCGACCUGCUUUACAUGUAUGAGUAACAACCUGUCCUGAGACGUGUAGUGUACUCCUAAUCAUGAAAUGCUAGGGCAUCUGGACUUAGUCUAAAGAUCCAAUCCUUCCCUAUCAGAGGAGUCCAAGGCUACCCUUGAACUGGUUAUCCAGGGGUAAGAGGCCUGUUUAUUAGCUAAUCCUCUUCCUCAUCAACCAUUGAAAGGUGAGUCUUUGAAGGCUAUUAACAGAGGCUUGAUAAGCCGGGAGUUAGGAUGGGUCCUUACGAGCUGAGUUAUAGGGUACUCUGUUGCUUCUUUCACUCAGAUUGGAAGGUCUCAUCCUCAUGAGUCAUUUAACCGAGGAUGUACUCUGUUGCUUUGAAGGUGAAAUGAGGAUUGUCCCGGCCCCAUAAGUUAUUUAUAAGGAAGUACUCUGUUGCUUUCGCAAUCAAUGAUGUUGGUCAAGACUCCAUAAGAUCUGGGUAAGGAUGGACUCUGUUCCCUUUGCAACCCAGGUCGCAAUGUCAUAGCCUCCUGGAAACAGGCCCAAAGAUGGACUCUGUUCCCUUUGCAGGGUAUGGUGUAAGGAUCACCUGCGUUUGGGUGGUUAGUUCGUCGAUUAUGCCUCAAAGAGACAUGAGCUUUACACAUAAAGUCUAGUAAUCGCUAUAGAGGUUAUCCUCUUUAGGAUGAUACACAGGUCUUUGUGCAGGUAAGCCAAGUUAUAACGUAUGCCGACAGUUUACAUGGAGGAUGUUGUUCGUGGCAGUAGUUAAAAGCCUUCCAGGUGCGUCUGAGAGACAAGUUCUUAAACCAGUCUCCAGUACAAGUAUGUGAGCUUAAACUGUCCAGUCUUAGUCUUACCUGGAGAAGCUGCGUAGCGAUGGCUCUUACAUCCUUGUAUUACCAGCUUUCAGGUGUAACGACACUCCUCUUAAGGGUAAGGAGGGUGGGCUUGGUUU